rnacentral:tRNA from 2 species
GGGCCGUUAGCUCAAUUGGUAGAGCAGCUGACUCUUAAUCAGUAGGUUCAAGGUUCGAGUCCUUGACGGCCCACCA